rnacentral:rRNA from 1 species
AGCCCUAACGGGUGAGUAACACGUGGGAACGUGCCUUUAGGUUCGGAAUAACUCAGGGAAACUUGAGCUAAUACCGGAUGUGCCCUUCGGGGGAAAGAUUUAUCGCCUUUAGAGCGGCCCGCGUCUGAUUAGCUAGUUGGUGAGGUAAAGGCUCACCAAGGCGACGAUCAGUAGCUGGUCUGAGAGGAUGAUCAGCCACAUUGGGACUGAGACACGGCCCAAACUCCUACGGGAGGCAGCAGUGGGGAAUCUUGCGCAAUGGGCGAAAGCCUGACGCAGCCAUGCCGCGUGAAUGAUGAAGGUCUUAGGAUUGUAAAAUUCUUUCACCGGGGACGAUAAUGACGGUACCCGGAGAAGAAGCCCCGGCUAACUUCGUGCCAGCAGCCGCGGUAAUACGAAGGGGGCUAGCGUUGCUCGGAAUUACUGGGCGUAAAGGGAGCGUAGGCGGACAUUUAAGUCAGGGGUGAAAUCCCGGGGCUCAACCUCGGAAUUGCCUUUGAUACUGGGUGUCUUGAGUAUGAGAGAGGUGUGUGGAACUCCGAGUGUAGAGGUGAAAUUCGUAGAUAUUCGGAAGAACACCAGUGGCGAAGGCGACACACUGGCUCAUUACUGACGCUGAGGCUCGAAAGCGUGGGGAGCAAACAGGAUUAGAUACCCUGGUAGUCCACGCCGUAAACGAUGAUUGCUAGUUGUCGGGAUGCAUGCAUUUCGGUGACGCAGCUAACGCAUUAAGCAAUCCGCCUGGGGAGUACGGUCGCAGGAUUAAAACUCAAAGGAAUUGACGGGGGCCCGCACAAGCGGGAGAAGCAUGUAGGUUAAUUCGGAGCGACGCGCAGAACCUUACCACCUUUUGACGUGCCCGGACCGCCAGAGAGAUCUGGCUUUCCCUUCGGGGACUGGGACACGGGGGCUGCGUGG